UAGGGAAUCUUCCACAAUGGGGCGCAAGCCUGAUGGAGCAACACCGCGUGAGUGAAGAAGGGUUUCGGAUUGUAAACUCCUGUCGUUAGGGACGAUAAUGACGGUACCUAACAAGAAAGCACCGGCUAACUACGUGCCAGCAGCCGCGGUAAAACGUAGGGUGCAAGCGUUGUCCGGAAUUACUGGGUGUAAAGGGAGCGCAGGCGGGCCGGCAAGUUGGAAGUGAAAACCAUGGGCUCAACCCAUGAAUUGCUUUCAAAACUGCUGGCCUUGAGUAGUGCAGAGGUAGGCGGAAUUCCCGGUGUAGCGGUGGAAUGCGUAGAUAUCGGGAGGAACACCAGUGGCGAAGGCGGCCUACUGGGGCACCAACUGACGCUGAGGCUCGAAAGUAUGGUAGCAAACAGGAUUAGAUACCCUGGUAGU
rnacentral:rRNA from 1 species